UGAUUCCAAGUGAAAAGAGGGUGAAACAGCCAAAGAGAAUUAGAAGCAAGAAGCUGGAAUUUCUGAACAGCUUUGUUACUCCACAGUUUUGAGGAGACUUUUCGACGUUGAGCGAAAAAGGAAAUUGAUACACACUCCAUAGGAGCUUACACACAUAAAGGCGAAAGGUGAACAUGGAACUACAUAGAGAGCAUGGCUAGCUGUAGAGCUCCUACAGGAUUCCAGAGUUCGAUGUACAUGGAUGACGACCUGUAGGGUUAUUUUGUAGGCUGCCAUUUGUAGGGUUAUAUUUUGGAAUCCUAUAUAGUGUACUUUUGAAAUGGCCUGUAGACAUGUUUAUAAGCUCAGAAUAUAUAUAUGUUGGAUUAUGGCGAUAUGAUUUUGGGUUUCGAUAUGUUAUAUGAUCAUGUCACAGGUGAUUAGAAGUUAAAAAAAAACUCGAAAAAAAAAAUAUGUAAAAUUCUAUAUCUAGGUUGUGUAUAGAUAUCAAUGUUAAUUUGGGGGCGUGACAGAGAGUGGUAUCAGAGCGAGGUUAUAAUUCUGUAGACUGUCGAUGUGCAUGAUCUCGGAAUAUGAAAGA